UCGGACGUGGUGCAGUGUAGCACGGUUUCUCUCGAUAUCAAUUGGGCGAGGGCGUGAGGAGGCAAACCCGGGUUCGAGUCCCGGCGUCCGAA